rnacentral:rRNA from 1 species
AGGUCUAACCUGCCCAAUGAGGAUUUAAAUGGCCGCAGUAUUUUGACUGUGCAAAGGUAGCAUAAUUAUUAGUUUUUUAAUUGAAAGCUUGUAUGAAGGGUUGGACGAGAUAAGAUCUGUCUUUAUUUAAAUUAAAAUAUAAUUUAACUUUUAAGUAAAAAGGCUUAAAUGUUUAUAAAAGACGAGAAGACCCUAUAGAUCUUUAUUUAGUUGAGAUUUUAAUAAUUUAGGAUUAUUUUAAUUUAAAGUUUUAAUUAAAUUUUAUUGGGGUAAUAUAAAGAUUAAAUAAAUUCUUUUUAUUUAUAACAUUGAUUUAUGAAUAUAUGAUCCAUUAAUAUUGAUUAUAAGAUUAAGUUACCUUAGGGAUAACAGCGUAAUUUUUUUGGAGAGCUCAUAUCGAUAAAAAAGUUUGCGACCUCGAUGUUGGAUUAAAAAUUAGCUUGGGUGCAGGAGCUCAAGAUUUUGGUCUGUUCGACCAUUAAAUUUUUACAUGAUCUGAGUUCAGACCGGCGUAAGCCAGGUCGGUUUCUAUCUUUAUUAAGAUAAAAUGUUUUAGUACGAAAGGACCAGGCAUUUAAUAUAAUUAUAUUUAUUUUUUGAAGAAUAUU